rnacentral:pre_miRNA from 9 species
UCUCGAUAGCGUAAAAGUUAGCUCAUCUUUGUAUGGAGUGGGAUCGUUUGACUAUGUUUGACGCUAGGGGCGCUGUUCCAACUGCAUACAAAAUUGGGCUAACUUUUAGGUUAUCGA